CUACGUAGGGGGCGAGCGUUGUCCGGAAUGAUUGGGCGUAAAGGGCGCGUAGGCGGCCCGGUAAGUCUGGAGUGAAAGUCCUGUUUUUAAGAUGGGAAUUGCUUUGGAUACUGUCGGGCUUGAGUGCAGGGGAGGGAAGUGGAAUUCCCAGUGUAGCGGUGAAAUGCGUAGAGAUUGGGAGGAACACCAGUGGCGAAGGCGACUUACUGGACUGUAACUGACGCUGAGGCGCGAAAGUGUGGGGAGCAAACAGGAUUAGAUACCCUGGUAGUCCACACUGUAAACGAUGAAUGCUAGGUGUAGGGGGUAUCGACCCCUUCUGUGCCGCAGUCAACACAAUAAGCAUUCCGCCUGGGGAGUACGGCCGCAAGGUUGAAACUCAAAUGAAUUGACGGGG
rnacentral:rRNA from 1 species